rnacentral:lncRNA from 1 species
GGGGCGACCUGAGGGACCGAACUGCGUGUUGUAUGACAUGGAGUGCUGACCGAAAAUCCCCCUACUUUUAAAAACUGGGGGCCAUGGAGAACAAAGAAGAGUUCAGUAUCUUGUCGCGGUACCAGAGAGCCUGCAGUAGUGCAGGCAGGCACCAGAAGGAGCAAGAGAUUAUGAGAAUCUGAAAAAGUGGCAAACCUCUGGAACUAGAAAAUGACAUGCACAAGACCAGAGAAGAUGUGUCCCCACAAAGGUUAGCGAGGCCCUCAGAAUAUCUAGCAAGGCCCAUUGGUGCAAUUCUGCCCCGUAUGAAGCCGGGGAAUGAAUCUCCAGAAACUGACCCUAAUGUCCAUGGAGAAUGUGAACAGAACAAAUGAGGCGUCAAGAAGAACUCAGACGCUUGGAAGAACUCUGAAACCAGGAGUUGCAAAAACAGAAGCAAAUACAACUAAGUGGAAGAAAUCACCAUAUCUUUUAAUCAGUGGACUCAGAUUUAGCAGGAGUGUUAUGCAACUAAUAAGAACAAGUUUCAGACAUGAAGAGGAGCAUCGGCGGCGUGAGGAAGAAAUGAUCUGACACAGAGAACAGAAGGAACUGAGGCCACAGCAAAGAAGGCUUUAAGCAAAAGCUACAUGGAAAUGAUUAAGUAAACUACUAGUUCAACUAAAAUGAU